rnacentral:rRNA from 1 species
CCAAUAGCGUAUAUUAAAGUUGUUGCAGUUAAAAAGCUCGUAGUUGAAUUUCGAGACCGGUCUACUGGUCGUGCUUUUGUACGUACUGGUUUUAUUGGUUUCUCCUUUCUGACGAACUAUAAUGCCAUUAAUUUGGUGUUAUAGGGAAUCAGGACUGUUACUUUGAAAAAAUUAGAGUGUUUAAAGCAGGCUCACGCUUGAAUACAUUAGCAUGGAAUAACGGAAUAGGACGUUUGAUUUUAUUUUGUUGGUUUCUAGGAUCGACGUAAUGAUUAAUAGG